AGCAGCCGCGGUAAUUCCAGCUCCAAUAGCGUAUAUUAAAGUUGUUGCAGUUAAAAAGCUCGUAGUUGAAUUUCGGGAUCAGUAUGUUGGUCGUGCUUCGGUACGUACUGUCAUUACUGGUUUCUACCUUCUGAAGAACCUUGAUGUCAUUAACUUGGUGUCUUGGGGAAUCAGGACUGUUACUUUGAAAAAAUUAGAGUGUUUAAAGCAAGCAUACGCUUGAAUACAUUAGCAUGGAAUAAUGAAAUAGGACGUUUGAUUCUAUUUUGUUGGUUUCUAGGAUCGACGUAAUGAUUAAUAGGGAUAGUUGGGGGCAUUAGUAUUCAAUUGUCAGAGGUGAAAUUCUUGGAUUUAUUGAAGACUAACUACUGCGAAAGCAUUUGCCAAGGAUGUUUUCAUUAAUCAAGAACGAAAGUUAGGGGAUCGAAGACGAUCAGAUACCGUCGUAGUCUUAACCAUAAACUAUGCCGACUAGGGAUCGGAUGAUGUUAUUUUUAAUGACUCAUUCGGCGCCUUAAC
rnacentral:rRNA from 1 species